GACGAACGCUGGCGGCGUGCUUAACACAUGCAAGUCGAACGGAAAGGCCCUACUUUUGUGGGGUGCUCGAGUGGCGAACGGGUGAGUAACACGUGAGCAACCUGCCCUUGACUUUGGGAUAACUUCAGGAAACUGGGGCUAAUACCGGAUAGGAGAUCCUGCUGCAUGGUGGGGGUUGGAAAGUUUCGGCGGUUGGGGAUGGACUCGCGGCUUAUCAGCUUGUUGGUGGGGUAGUGGCUAACCAAGGCUUGGACGGGUAGCCGGCCUGAGAGGGUGACCGGCCACAUUGGGACUGGGGAACGGCCAGGACGCCUCCGGGGGGAAGCGGGGGGAAAUUUUGCAAAAGGGGCGGAGGCGGGAGGCAGGACCGCCGGGUGGGGGAGGACGGCCUUCGGGUGGGAAACCCCUUUCGCCGGUGACGAGGCGUGGUGGCGGGAAAUGGAGAAGAAGCACCGGCUAACUUAGUU
rnacentral:rRNA from 1 species